rnacentral:rRNA from 1 species
GACGAACGCUGGCGGCGUGCUUAACACAUGCAAGUCGAACGGAAAGGCCCUGCUUUUGUGGGGUGCUCGAGUGGCGAACGGGUGAGUAACACGUGAGUAACCUGCCCUUGACUUUGGGAUAACUUCAGGAAACUGGGGCUAAUACCGGAUAGGAGCUCCUGCUGCAUGGUGGGGGUUGGAAAGUUUCGGCGGUUGGGGAUGGACUCGCGGCUUAUCAGCUUGUUGGUGGGGUAGUGGCUUACCAAGGCUUUGACGGGUAGCCGGCCUGAGAGGGUGACCGGCCACAUUGGGACUGAGAUACGGCCCAGCCUCCUACGGGAGGCAGCAGUGGGGAAUAUUGCACAAUGGGCGGAAGCCUGAUGCAGCAACGCCGCGUGCGGGAUGACGGCCUUCGGGUUGUAAACCGCUUGCGCCUGUGACGAAGCGUGAGUGACGGUAAUGGGUAAAGAAGCACCGGCUAACUACGUG